rnacentral:rRNA from 1 species
AGAGCGAACGCUGGCGGCGUGCUUAACACAUGCAAGUCGAACGAGGUCUGUAGCAAUACAGAUACUCGUGGCGAACGGGUGCGUAACACGUGGAUAACCUUCCUUCAGGUGGGGAAUAACCCAGUGAAAAUUGGGCUAAUACCGCAUAACAUGACGAUGCCACAUGGUGUUGUCUUCAAAGGCGCAAGUCGCCAGAAGAGGGAUCCGCGGCCGAUUAGCUAGUUGGCGAGGUAAUGGCUCACCAAGGCAAUGAUCGGUAGCCGGACUGAGAGGUUGGCCGGCCACACUGGAACUGAGACACGGUCCAGACUCCUACGGGAGGCAGCAGUGGGGAAUCUUGCACAAUGGACGAAAGUCUGAUGCAGCAACGCCGCGUGGGGGAUGAAGCUUUUCGGAGUGUAAACCCCUUUCGACCCGGAAGAAAGCCCGCAAGGGUUUGACGGUACGGGUAUAAGAAGCCCGGCUAACUACGUGCCAGCAGCCGC